GGCGGACAGAUCACUUGAGUGGACUGAAAUCGGCGUGUCCCAAGGUUCCCAUGUCAGCUGGCUUCCUGCUGAGUGCAGGCCCUGGGAGGUUCUGGCAAGAGAUUGGUGAAUAGAAGAAAGGGAGAAGCCCAGGUAUUCCUCCCUUGUUCUCUGCCACAAGUAGCAACUCUAGCAACAGCUGCAUCUGUUUCGUGGCUCCAGCUCUGGCCAGACAGGUGUCUCCAUGGGUCCAGCUUCUGUUGGGCAAACCUGGUUCCAGGUUUCAGGAAAUACUUCUUCCUUUUUUUGUUUCUUCAGCUAGGCUGCCCUUAGUCCCCAGCAAGAGGGUCCCUUCCCAACCCCACGUUAGAGGGCUCUGCAUAUUCCAAACACACACAAAUAACUGAACUGAAGAAUUCAUGGUUGCCUCUGUGUCUUGAGUUCCUGCAUCAGGUCUGCACAGCAUGGGCUGUGACCCUAAACUUCUGCUCUUCUGGUUAACACAGAAUGGGCCCCAGGAAAGUGCUCUGACAUACCUCUUGGCCUGUAUCCUCAAAACAAAAGACAACUGCAUCUGAGUGCCAUUAAGUGUUUUGGGUUGUGUUGCUGCUGAUGUUGGGGGUGGAUUCUGCUUUGAUGUGCUGAGAGGAUCUGAAGGUAGAAGCACUUAGACACAAAAGAGGACAAAAUGAUUAACUUGUCAAUCUUUUCUCCCAGACAGCAUGUGUUCAGUAGAUUUUUGAAUAAGGAAGUAUAAUUUCCCAGAAGUCAUAAGUAUCCAUCUUCUGUCUUCCUUUGGUGUUCCACUUCGUGGUUCUGGAGUUACACGGGAAUUAGGAUGAUAUUUUGCAACAGUUGUACACGGUACCUGAGGACUGUUUUGCGAUAUUAAGCAAUUCAUGUUGCUCUUAACUAUAUUUCUCGACCCAUUCUGAAUUUUGGCCUAAAAUACAGAAACAUGCUAAUGUCACAUAUCGUACAUAGUUUAAUGUGUUACUAAGAGAUGUGGCCUCAGCUUGAGCCAAUAGUUGUAAAAUUCUUUGGAGAAAUUAAAAGAUUAUAGGUAUUUGUGCUAUAUCUUGAAUUUAUCCACAGACAAAGCACAUUUAAAUUUGAUCUUAUAGCCACUUGAAGACAUAUGAUGGAAAUUCUGACUAGAAAAUGCUGCCAAAGUCAUUAAAUUUUAUUUAGAAAAUACAUAAAAUACAUAAGGUAUACUAGAUAUAAGAUGUACCAGCUACCUGAAACAACAGAUGAUGCUCACAUAUAGAGCAAAAUGUGGUCUUUGGUGGAAAAGGAAAUCAAUUUUGGAUUUGUGCUAUCCACAAUUCUUUGAUAUGAACUAUUGCUUGUUAUUAAUAAUGUAAACAAAAUAGGUAGGAGGUCCUGAAAGGGAGUCCUCCUUAAAAGGUUUCUGGCUUAGUUUCCUUUCUUUUGAGGAUUUUUAACAUAUAAGCCAAACGAAAUCCAAG
rnacentral:lncRNA from 10 species